rnacentral:rRNA from 1 species
AACCCCUUGGGCAAGUCCGAACGGUAGCACAGAGAGCUUGCUCUCGGGUGACGAGUGGCGGACGGGUGAGUAAUGUCUGGGAAACUGCCCGAUGGAGGGGGAUAACUACUGGAAACGGUAGCUAAUACCGCAUAACGUCGCAAGACCAAAGUGGGGGACCUUCGGGCCUCACACCAUCGGAUGUGCCCAGAUGGGAUUAGCUAGUAGGUGGGGUAAUGGCUCACCUAGGCGACGAUCCCUAGCUGGUCUGAGAGGAUGACCAGCCACACUGGAACUGAGACACGGUCCAGACUCCUACGGGAGGCAGCAGUGGGGAAUAUUGCACAAUGGGCGCAAGCCUGAUGCAGCCAUGCCGCGUGUAUGAAGAAGGCCUUCGGGUUGUAAAGUACUUUCAGCGGGGAGGAAGGCGGUGAAGUUAAUAGCUUCACCGAUUGACGUUACCCGCAGAAGAAGCACCGGCUAACUCCGUGCCAGCAGCCGCGGUAAUACGGAGGGUGCAAGCGUUAAUCGGAAUUACUGGGCGUAAAGCGCACGCAGGCGGUCUGUCAAGUCGGAUGUGAAAUCCCCGGGCUUAACCUGGGAACUGCAUUCGAAACUGGCAGGCUGGAGUCUUGUAGAGGGGGGUAGAAUUCCAGGUGUAGCGGUGAAAUGCGUAGAGAUCUGGAGGAAUACCGGUGGCGAAGGCGGCCCCCUGGACAAAGACUGACGCUCAGGUGCGAAAGCGUGGGGAGCAAACAGGAUAAAACCCCCCGGGGAAAAACAAUUUCCCG